UCCCUACUUACCAACGGCUAAUUCACCCAACGGCUCCUUUGGACUCUCCGCUGCUUUAGGACCCUCCACGGUCACGCCUUCAUCUUCAUUAAUUAUUAAUCGUAUAAUUAGGAGCUAUAACUACUAACCAAUAAAGUUAAAUGAUCUUUAUUUGAGCCGUUAAUAAAUUCCAUCAAUAAAAUCUUUCAAAAAGUUAUUUUUAAUUGUCUUAAACGAACAAUUUCUGCAUUUCCCAUAUAUAUAAAAAAGGAAAACGUUAUAGAGAAGCUUCCUUGAGACCCUCAACAUACUUUGUCCUCGUCCGAAUAUGUCUUCCUCUGUUUUUUAUUCU